UACGGAGGAUCCGAGCGUUAUCCGGAUUUAUUGGGUUUAAAGGGUGCGCAGGCGGGAUAUUAAGUCGGCGGUGAAAGUUUGCAGCUUAACUGUAAAAUUGCCGUUGAUACUGGUAUUCUUGAGUGUAUAUGAAGUAGGCGGAAUUUGUAGUGUAGCGGUGAAAUGCAUAGAUAUUACAAGGAACUCCGAUUGCGAAGGCAGCUUACUAAAAUACUACUGACGCUCAUGCACGAAGGCGUGGGGAUCAAACAGGAUUAGAUACCCUGGUA
rnacentral:rRNA from 1 species